CGUGUAGGCGGGAAUGCAAGUCAGAUGUGAAAUGCCGAGGCUUAACCUCGGAGCUGCAUCUGAAACUGUGUUUCUUGAGUGUCGGAGAGGAAAGUGGAAUUCCCAGUGUAGCGGUGAAAUGCGUAGAUAUUGGGAGGAACACCAGUGGCGAAGGCGACUUUCUGGACGAUAACUGACGCUGAGGCGCGAAAGCGUGGGAGCAAACA
rnacentral:rRNA from 1 species